GUGGGGAAUCUUGCGCAAUGGGCGAAAGCCUGACGCAGCCAUGCCGCGUGAAUGAUGAAGGUCUUAGGAUUGUAAAAUUCUUUCACCGGGGACGAUAAUGACGGUACCCGGAGAAGAAGCCCCGGCUAACUUCGUGCCAGCAGCCGCGGUAAUACGAAGGGGGCUAGCGUUGCUCGGAAUUACUGGGCGUAAAGGGCGCGUAGGCGGACAGUUUAGUCAGAGGUGAAAGCCCAGGGCUCAACCCUGGAAUUGCCUUUGAUACUGGCUGUCUUGAGUACGGGAGAGGUGAGUGGAACUCCGAGUGUAGAGGUGAAAUUCGUAGAUAUUCGGAAGAACACCAGUGGCGAAGGCGACUCACUGGCCCGUUACUGACGCUGAGGCGCGAAAGCGUGGGGAGCAAACAGGAUUAGAUACCCCUGUAGUCC
rnacentral:rRNA from 1 species